GCGUAAAGAAGAAGGACUUUACGGCUAUGCAACGGAUACGUCAGGAUGACCACGGAUUUUUCUACAAGUUCUUUCGCAAGGCGCCGCAGCUCUUGGACAAGCUAUUGAGCUUUUUAGCAGAGGACCUCACACGGCAGCACCACAUUCGAGAAACCCCUGCCUGGAGAAUGACUUGCUGUAGCAUUGAGAAGCAAUGCUUCCUAACAUAUCCAGCCUACGACUGCCUGCUGAAGCCAGCGAUGCUCCUGACUGCGGACUGCUGUGGUGUGCCUCAGAAUCCUCAGGAACCAGAACUUCUUGAAACAUCAGUGAUUCAAGAGAU